rnacentral:rRNA from 1 species
UACGUAGGGACCGAGCGUUGUCCGGAAUCAUUGGGCGUAAAGAGCGUGUAGGCGGCCAGAAAAGUCCGCUGUGAAAACUCGAGGCUCAACUUCGAGCUGUCGGUGGAAACUUUCUGGCUAGAGUCCGGAAGAGGAGAAUGGAAUUCCUGGUGUAGCGGUGAGAUGCGCAGAUAUCAGGAAGAACACCCGUGGCGAAGGCGGUUCUCUGGGACGGUACUGACGCUGAGACGCGAAAGCGUGGGGAGCGAACAGG